CCUGCAGCAAAAUUGUUUAUUUUUCUAUAGUGUGUAAUGUGAUUCAUAAAAUUUAAAUGUAGAUGAUUAGCGUGUCUAUUUAUUAUUUGUCGCCUUUGAGUGAGCGAGAACGGCGUAACCGUCCAGAAGAGACUCUCGUAUGUAAAACCAAAAAUGGAAUCUAACAGAAAAGUAAAAGCAAAAAGCACGAUCAAUUUGAAUCUCACGCGAUUUUGGUCAUAACUACCCCAAGCAUCUACUUUUAAUUCAUAUACUACAUGUGCAUUGUAGCUCAAAAUCUGUUUUACUGUGCUGUUCAAGCGGAGGCACCCUCGAGUUGGAAUUUUUACUCAAUACCCAUUCUUUCCAGCUAAAACCCACCAAUUCUGCAAGUGAGCAGCCAAUAUUUUAACACACUGUGCAUCUCAACAAAUAACAAAAGCCAUCAACAACGACAGCUCUUCUGAAAGCCCUAGCAGAAACCAUCAACGUGAUUCAUUUUCAUGGCAUCCCAUUCCCACGUCUGCAGUCUGAAAGAUGUUCCGAAAGCCCUAGUAUCUCGCUUUGUCUGAGAUAGCCUCUACUCUGCUGCUCUUCUCGACGGCAAUGGGAAAGGAUCUGGCCUUCCCACUGAGAUCUGGUCUUCCUCAAGCGUGGAGUUUGAUCUAUUAACGGGAAUUUUAGAUUCAGAGGCGAGAGAACUGGGGACAAGUUCUUGACUUCUCUUCAAGCAGAUGCUAUCACUGUUAUAGAAUUUUCAUUGACCAAAAUCUUAUCUCCUGAAGUGCAAAGAAGCAGAAUGUGAUGUCUAGGUCCAGUACCGAAGUGGAGUAUCGGCCUAUGGCACUGGCUAUAGCAGAGUUGUACUGGAUACAUAUGUUAUUUUCGUGAUAUGGGGAGUGUUAGUGAAUCUAUUUCUCCACGUGCUGCAUGAUCUUUUCAACCACUAUUUUCAGAAUAUCUUGCUGCAGAUCAACUCACUCAACAGCCACCUAAGAACUCUUCUAUGGUUACUCAACAGCUAGCAUAGUUAUUUUAAAUUUUGUAAAAUCUGUACUAAAAGUGUACCUUAGCUUUGAAAGUGUAUAGUCAAAGUUAGCUCCUUGUUUUACUCUGAUUUGUAUAUUGUGUAUCUAUUUAUUCUGAUCAAUGCACAGAUCAAGUCAUGUUGGUCAAA